rnacentral:other from 1 species
AGUUCUCUGAAUUGUUAGUGAUCAGGUGAAUGUCCCUGAGCCGAUAAUUUUUUUCACCCAGGGAUUUUUUUGCGUUACCAGUGUGCAAGCCCAGCUAGUACUGGGAAGCCUGAGGUAGCCAUCUGACUCCCGCCUUGAACCUAGGGUUCAAGGGCUGACAUCAGACACGGCAAUUUGGAGAACCC